rnacentral:misc_RNA from 1 species
GAUGAAGAACGCAGCGAAAUGCGAUAAGUAAUGUGAAUUGCUGAAUUCAGUGAAUCAUCGAAUCUUUGAACGCACAUUGCGCCCGCCAGUAUUCUGGCGGGCAUGCCUGUUCGAGCGUCAUUUCAACCAUCAAGCCCCGGGCUUGUGUUGGGGACCUGCGGCUGCCGCAGGCCCUGAAAUGCAGUGGCGGGCUCGCUGUCACUCCGAGCGUAGUAGUUACAUCUCGCUCUGGGCGUGCUGCGGGUUCCGGCCGUUAAAAGCCUUAUUUACCCAAGGUUGACCUCGGAUCAGGUAGGAAGACCCGCUGAACUUAAGCAUAUCAAUAAGCGGAGGA